UGACGGUACCAGUAGAAGAAGCCCCGGCUAACUACGUGCCAGCAGCCGCGGUAAGACGUAGGGGGCCAGCGUUGUUCGGAAUUACUGGGUGUAAAGGGUUCGUAGGCGGUGCGGCAAGUUGGGAGUGAAAUCUCUGGGCUUAACCCAGAGGCUGCUUCCAAAACUGCUGUGCUUGAGUGUGGGAGAGGCGCGUGGAAUUGCAGGUGUAGCGGUGAAAUGCGUAGAUAUCUGCAGGAACACCCGUGGCGAAAGCGGCGCGCUGGACCACAACUGACGCUGAGGAACGAAAGCUAGGGGAGCAAACAGGAUUAGAUACCCUGGUAGUCC
rnacentral:rRNA from 1 species